rnacentral:rRNA from 1 species
UACAGAGGGUGGCAAGCGUUAAUCGGAUUUACUGGGCGUAAAGCGCGCGUAGGCGGCUAAUUAAGUCAAAUGUGAAAUCCCCGAGCUUAACUUGGGAAUUGCAUUCGGAUACUGGUUAGCUAGAGUGUGGGAGAGGAUGGUAGAAUUCCAGGUGUAGCGGUGAAAUGCGUAGAGAUCUGGAGGAAUACCGAUGGCGAAGGCAGCCAUCUGGCCUAACACUGACGCUGAGGUGCGAAAGCAUGGG